rnacentral:rRNA from 1 species
GAACGCUAGCGACAGGCCUAACACAUGCAAGUCGAGGGGCAGCACAAGGAGCAAUCUGAGGUGGCGACCGGCGCACGGGUGAGUAACACGUAUGCAACCUGCCUGUAAGCGGGGAAUAACCCGUUGAAAGACGGAUUAAUACCGCAUAAUACUAAAUUACUGCAUGGUAAUUUAUUUAAACAUUUAUGGCUUACAGAUGGGCAUGCGCAUGAUUAGCUAGUUGGAGAGGUAACGGCUCCCCAAGGCAACGAUCAUUAGGGGUUCUGAGAGGAAGGUCCCCCACACUGGUACUGAGACACGGACCAGACUCCUACGGGAGGCAGCAGUGAGGAAUAUUGGUCAAUGGACGAGAGUCUGAACCAGCCAAGUCGCGUGCAGGAAGAAUGUCCCUAUGGAUUGUAAACUGCUUUUGCAGGGGAAUAAAGUGCAUCACGUGUGAUGUUUUGUAUGUACUCUGCGAAUAAGGAUCGGCUAACUCCGUGCCAGCCGCCGC